CAGCAGCCGCCACGGGAAUACGAAGGGGGCUAGCGUUGUUCGGAUUUACUGGGCGUAAAGCGCACGUAGGCGGAUCGAUCAGUCAGGGGUGAAAUCCCAGAGCUCAACUCUGGAACUGCCUUUGAUACUGUCGAUCUGGAGUAUGGAAGAGGUGAGUGGAAUUCCGAGUGUAGAGGUGAAAUUCGUAGAUAUUCGGAGGAACACCAGUGGCGAAGGCGGCUCACUGGUCCAUUACUGACGCUGAGGUGCGAAAGCGUGGGGAGCAAACAGGAUUAGAUACCCCGGUAGUCCCUGUCUCUUAUAC
rnacentral:rRNA from 1 species